rnacentral:rRNA from 1 species
GACGAACGCUGGCGGCGUGCCUAAUACAUGCCAGUCGAGCGCUGAAGCGUGGUGCUUGUACCUACUGGAUGAGCAGCGAACGGGUGAGUAACGCGUGGGUAAUCUGCCUUUGAGCGGGGGACAACAUCUGGAAACGAAUGCUAAUACCGCAUAAAAUCUUUAAACACAUGUUUUAAGAUUGAAAGAUGCUGUUGCAUCACUCAAUGAUGAUCCCGCGUCGUAUUAGCUAGUUGGUGAGGUAAAGGCUCACCAAGGCGAAGAUACAUAGCCGAACUGAGAGGGGGGUCGGCCAACAUGGGAAUGAGACAAGGCCCCAGACCCCAAGGGGAGGAGCAAGAAGGGAACUUCGGGAAAGGAGGGAAGGCUGAACGGGCAAAGCCGCGGGGGGGAAGAAGGUUUUCGGAUCGGAAAAAUCGGUUUGUAGGGGGGAAAGUUGGGGGGAGUGGAAAGCGCAUCAAGUGACGGUAACUACUCAGAAAGGGACGGCUAACUACGUG